rnacentral:snoRNA from 1 species
CCCAGCUGUGGGCAGCUGCCUGGGUUGCCUUGUAUCUAGGCGAGUGUUCCACUGCUGGGAGAAAAGCAGCCAGGAGCUGGUGUGCGUUCUAGGCCUGGUUAAUGCCAACUCUAUUAGCUAUACCAGUGUGCCAGCAUAGUUGCCCAUUCU